AUCCCGUGUGCGUGGCGCCGUGGUUUGUUUUGCUCCCUCUGACGGAUCAACAGCGCUCUGUGGCACCAUUUAUUUAGUUUGAGCGUUUUAAAGUAUUCUUUGUGCCUCUCGCUGACACGGGACAGUAUUUUAGGGCAUUCGCAGUGAUCCGAGGACUCGUUCGGAGCGAACCGGUUUGCCCCUCGGGGAGGGGGGGGGGGGGUGCCCCCCACGUCGAGUUCAACUCAGGCCAACUUUCGCUGAGACAUCAGAAAGAAAGAAGUUCUUCUUUUCUUUUUCUUUUUAAGUGGAAAAACAACCAUUUCCCAUUUUAGCGAACAAUUCCAAAUAAGAUUGUGCCUUUUUACGAGCCAACAAGAGUUUUGUCACGUUGCCCCCAGCAUGUUUUAACACACACACACACACACACACACAGCACCACCAUGCCUUCUGUUUUUUGUAAAAGAGAGAUGCAGAAAAAGUAAAACUACACAUAUAUAUUUUAUUCAAAUAUAUAUUGAAUUCAAAUAGUAUAUUUCAAUAUGGUCAUUUGAUACAAAUCAGGAAAAUCCUACUAUUUUUAAUGUUAAAGAUAUGUAUGUAUUCAGCGGGCAUAUUAUUUCCAGCAUCAUUCAGCCUUUGCCUUCUCACUCUUGCCUUCUCUCCAUCGCUGAGCUGCAGCGCCGAAGGCCGCCGGCAUCCGUUUUGUGUUUAUAUUGUACUGUUUGUAGUUGUUGCGUAGUCAGGCAAUGGAGGGCGUGACGGCACGAGGACAAAUCAGCGACUUGACCCCCAGGAGAGUCUUGGGAGCCGAGUCACACUCUGUGGGCGUGUUCUACCCGACAGGCGGGGCUUCACCAAGUACCUGAAGCGGUGAGCCGCCGCCGCCGACACGCACCUUCAGAGUGGACCGGGUGAUUGUGAUUGGGUGAAAGCUGGCCGGUCACCUCACAGCCAGCUGCCGGUGCAAACGGACCCUGCUUCAAGCGCGGACUCUGGACUCUGAGGCAGACAAUCGCUGCCACACACACACACACAGUGGAACGGAAACGACAUCAUAAAGCAUCUGCAGAUUGGAGAAAGAGGGACUUCCCAAAGCCGACCCAGCUCAUUUUCCUCGCUGUGUGUGUGUGUGUGUGUGUGUGUGUGUGUGUGUGUGUGUGUGUACGUGCACUUGUGCAUGUGUGGUUUCUAUGGUUAUGCCGUCACUCACAUCUCAGCUCCUCCAUCAUAGAAUAACACACACACACACACACACACACAUCUCUUACUUCUGAUUGGGUUGUUUUACAUUAUCACCGUUGAAUAAGGGUCAUUUACUGUCAGCAAAUUGCUACAAGUGCCAGUAAAAGAUCAACAAAUGAACUUUUAGGGGCCGAUGUAGCCGCUUCAGAGUGUGCGGUGAGAAAGAACCGUUCCCCGCCGCGCCCCGCUUGUCAUUGGCAUUUUCUUCUGUAUUUUUUCCUGACUUAUUUACUGUUACUCUUGUAAUUCUAUUAUUAACGUGACUGUUUUUGAUUAUUCUGCUCUUUUCCUGGUUUCCUGUCCGUUCUUGUUUUGCACUCUCCCAGGAACUUCAACUUAGUGGGCUUCAGUGCAUUUUAUUUUUAAUGAUUUCUUCUUUUUUUAUACUUAUGUUGAUUUUAUACCCACGUUACCAUGGAAAAGAAGAGGGUCAUAUAAUCCCUAAAUGAUAUACAGCAGGGGGAAAUAAACCAUUUUUAUUUGAUGUUGUACAUAUAUAUUUUCUUCCCCUUAUGGUGGAUUGUGUAAGAAAAAAAAGCUUUGUACUGUUUAAGCAUUGUAUUUUAAAUGUGUCCCCCGGUCUCCUGUCCUGUCUCUACCCUCGUUUGGACCUUAACAAGGAGCUGUCACUCCAGAGGGGAGACGGAGACUUCUUAUUUUUUGUUUUUAUCAUAGAGGAACCACCUGUACUAGAGUUUCUCUUCUCUGUCCCUCUUCAUUUGUAAUUAAACAAUAAUCAGGGUUCAUUAAAAAAAGGUUAAUAAAAAACAGAUGAUG
ensembl:lncRNA